UUUUUUUACGCUACUAGAAUUAUUUAUUACUUUUUUAACAUUAUAAGUCAUGCCACAAACAAGAUUCAGACAAACUUAUUGUGCGCUCAUCGUAGUGGCAUCUAAUUUUGUUCAAGUUAUCACUACAAAACCACACUAAUCAAAUAAUGAUGUUUUAUAAACAUCAUAAACAUUACUUGAAGUAUAAAUGUAUGUCAGCCUUCAACUGGACUUGCUGUUCUGAUAUGACAGCCGGACCUGUAGGCCAUCAGACUGACGAGAAGGUGUAGGGUUCAAACUGAGCCCCAUCCGACAUGGUUGAUCGUCAGCAGUGUCACGACAAAAGAAGAAAGAGUGUGAAAACUCGGCAGACCUCAGAGCAUCCAACAUCCCGUGCCCCAGAGCGCACACCUCCCCACGGAACAUUGAGUCAACACUUUAGGACUCCUGAAGCUCCAACCAUCGAAGAACCAAGGAACCCAAUGAACUGAUCUCAUCCAAGCUGACAUGUUGAGCCAGGUGCUGUUUUCCACUCAAGGUCUCGCUUUUGAAUUCAGCCUGAAAGAGGUUUCUAGGAAAUUAAGAACCAUUGAUUAUUCAGUUGCUUGCAAUUUCAUCUGACGAAAAAAGCAGGAGGAAGAGGGAGGAGUAAAAUUGAAUGACCUUCCUGCUGCAAACCUGCAUUUAAUAUCCUUUUUUCCUUUCAUCUCUCAGGUCCAUCAGCACACCCCGUCUCUCUCCUCCUGAUCUAGACUCUUCUCUUAGAGUAUUUGACAGACUGUGGUUGACACUCGAUCUAAAGGGGUGUCAGUUUGUCAAAUACCCCAAGAGAGGGGGCACGAGUCUUCAGAAUUCUGCAACACUUCGUAUGACCCAUGCGAUCCUGUUACUCUCUCAUGUUCAGCCUUUUUGUCUUGUGCAAAAUGUGGAGGAUGACAACAUUCAUUUAUAAUGUGCGCUUGAAUUCAUUACCUCUACAUAUAUGCAAUCUUUAUGGUUGAUUAGAUACAUAGAAAUAAACAACAGUAAAGAGUACAUUACCAUUGUGCUGUCUGUGUCAGGGAUAAUUGUGUUAAAAAACAUUGUAAACUAAGACAUAGUUCAGAUAAGCAGUUUUUAGCAUGUCGACCACAAUGGCAGUUGCUGGGUGAGUGCCAUUUGCUACCGAAAAAAAAAAAAAA
rnacentral:miRNA from 1 species